rnacentral:rRNA from 1 species
AGCGAACGCUGGCGGCAGGCCUAACACAUGCAAGUCGAACGAACCCUUCGGGGUUAGUGGCGGACGGGUGAGUAACACGUGGGAACGUGCCUUUAGGUUCGGAAUAACUCAGGGAAACUUGUGCUAAUACCGAAUGUGCCCUUCGGGGGAAAGAUUUAUCGCCUUUAGAGCGGCCCGCGUCUGAUUAGCUAGUUGGUGAGGUAAAGGCUCACCAAGGCUACGAUCAGUAGCUGGUCUGAGAGGAUGACCAGCCACAUUGGGACUGAGACACGGCCCAAACUCCUACGGGAGGCAGCAGUGGGGAAUCUUGCGCAAUGGGCGAAAGCUUGGCGCAGCCAUGCCGCGUGGAUGAUGAAGGUCUUAGGAUUGUAAAAUCCUUUCACCGGUGAAGAUAAUGACUGUAGCCGGAGAAGAAGCCCCGGCUAACUUCGUGCCAGCCGCCGCGGUAAUAC